CCUUUAUAUUAGCUGUCAGUAUUCUUACACAUGCGAAUAUCCGUAAUCCGGUGAGUCAUGCCCAAAAUUUCCAUGUUCAAAGAAAUGAAGGAGCAGGGAUCAAGUACACUAUUCUAUUAGUAGCUAAAGACACCACGCCUAACCACACCCCCACGGGAUACAGCAGUGAUAAAAAUUAAGCAAUGAACGAAAGUUUGACUAAGUAAUACUGAACAAGGGUUGGUAAAUUUCGUGCCAGCCACCGCGGUCAUACGAUUAACCCUAGUUAAUAUACUACGGCGUAAAGAGUGCUAAAAUAUAUACCUAAAUAAGACUCAAGCCUAAUUUAGCUGUAAAAAGCAUCAAUUAAAGCGAAAAUCAAUAACGAAAGUAGUCUUAUUAAAUUGCAGCACUAAAGCUAUAGAACAAACUGGGAUUAGAUACCCCACUAUGUAUAGCCAUAAACAUAAAUAAGUUUAUAACAAAUUUAUUCGCCUGAGGACUACAAGCAACUGCUAGAAACUCAAAGGACUUGGCGGUGCUUUAUAUCCACCUAGAGGAGCCUGUUCCGUAAUCGAUAAACCCCGAUCCACCUUACCACUUCUUGCUAAUUCAGCCUAUAUACCGCCAUCCUCAGCUAACCCUGAAAAGGAAAGAUAGUAAGCACAAUCAUUAUAAAUUAAUAAAAAAGUUAGGUCAAGGUGUAGCCAAUGGAGUGGAGAGUAAUGGGCUACAUUUUCUGUAGACAGAAUAUUAACGAAGUUCCCUCUGAAACACAGGGAAUGAAGGAGGAUUUAGUAGUAAAUUGAAAAUAGAGUGUUCAAUUGAAUAGAGCAAUGAAGCACGUACACAUCGCCCGUCGCUCUU
rnacentral:ncRNA from 1 species